rnacentral:misc_RNA from 1 species
AAGCGCAGGAGCAGAAUCACAAAUGAAGCGGAGUGUAGACUCUCACUGAUCCGUGCCUGAGAAAAACAUGGAAUUACUUCCUUUUUCUCAUACAAGUGUAUACUAUAUCAUAAAUAACACAGAUCGUCGUCGAUCUUCCUCCCCAUCAUAUAUAUAUAUACACGGAUGUUUAUUGGCACCUCUAGUACUACUACCUACGCACUCCUCCAUAGAUAGAAACGAGCAGAAAUACAUUACACAUUGAAGGCAAAAUAGAGAGAGAGAGAGACUACCCUGAUCUUUUCCCCUUCCGUCAGUCCGUCCUCGUUUCCCCUUCUCAUUCGACGAGCGCGGCGAAGCAGCUCCCCGUGCGCGCCAGCGAGCUCCGGGACGCCCCCGCGGCGAGGGCGGAGACGCCGGGGUCGGCGGCGUCGCGCCAGCAGGCGCAGCGCAGCGAUGAGCCCGUCGGGGCUGCCCGCGGGCGACGGCGGCGCGGACGCCCCGCGGCAGGCGCGGGCGUGCCGGUCCAGCGCCUCGGCGGGGGAGAUGGGCGGGGUCCCCGCGCGCCCCAGCUCCUCGCCCACCGCGUCCCCGCACAGCCCGCAGAUCCACCGCCCGCCGAACCGCGCGCGCACGCCCGCGAUGUACGGCGCCGUGCACUCCUCCGUGAAGCCGCAGCACUCGCACGCCACCUCCUCCUCGUCGUCGUCCUCCUCCUCGACCGCCGGCUCCCUCUCCAUGGCCUCCAGAGCUCCCGCCUCACGGGACACGCGCGCAACUAGGAAUAGGUCAGAUCGGCGGCUCCUCGCCCUCCGCUGCUGUUACGGUGACAAGCUGCCGGUCGUGGCCGUGGCCGCCGCCUGCUUCCAUCUACUUCCCCUUCCCCGUGAGCGCGUGAUUGGCAAUUGGCGCUGGCUUUUAACGUGGGACGCUGGCGG